rnacentral:rRNA from 1 species
UGGGGAAUAUUGGACAAUGGGCGAAAGCCUGAUCCAGCCAUGCCGCAUGAGUGAAGAAGGCCUUUGGGUUGUAAAGCUCUUUUAGUGAGGAAGAUAAUGACGGUACUCACAGAAGAAGUCCUGGCUAACUCCGUGCCAGCAGCCGCGGUCAUACGGAGAGGGCUAGCGUUAUUCGGAAUUAUUGGGCGUAAAGGGCGCGUAGGCUGGUUAAUAAGUUAAAAGUGAAAUCCCGAGGCUUAACCUUGGAAUUGCUUUUAAAACUAUUAAUCUAGAGAUUGAAAGAGGAUAGAGGAAUUCCUGAUGUAGAGGUAAAAUUCGUAAAUAUUAGGAGGAACACCGGUGGCGAAGGCGUCUAUCUGGUUCAAAUCUGACGCUGAAGCGCGAAGGCGUGGGGAGCAAACA